GAAUUCCAACUCACAUGGGCUAACAACCAGUCUCUCUACUGCUCCUUCCUAUCAGCAGCUAAUCAGAACAAAGGAAAGGUAGCAGCAAGAAUUGCACUGCUGAGGCCCCCAGAGAGUUCCUUUGAGCAGUCACUGCCUUAUGCCUCUGAGCCUGGCUCGCCUGCACAUUCUUCUCUUCCCCAAGCUUCAUGUUGCCCGUGGCUCAGGAGAACCCACCAUCACCAUGGGGAUACACAGCGAGUCACAGGCACUGAGAAGAAAUUCUGAGAAGGCCUCCAAGGUGUCUUCCUUCUUGGCGCUGGGAGCUGUGAAUGGAUUCUCCUGGGCUGAAGGCUCACUCUGGAAUUCUAUAGCCAACCUAAGAAAUCAAUGUCAUGAUCUUCGGAAGCAGCAGGCUGCAGUACACUGACCAGGGGCCUCCUGCUCAGCAAGGUCUGGGAAAACUCCGCACAUCGGUUUAGCAUGGCUUCUAGCAAAGCCUGCAGUUCCCCAUACUGCACAGGUGGAGUGCUCUGAUGGUCCUUCCUGCAUCCAGAGAGACAAAAGCAGGUUCACGGCUCCUCACCACUGCCUCGAUCCCUACCACAGGAUGACAUGACAGAGGCCAGGGAUCAGUGCUCUCUUGUUCCUUCACUGCCCACCCAGAAGAGGUGACAGGCUCUGGACAGCAUGUAUGAGUUGGAGGCCACUCGUGGAGGGACCCUGACAAGAUUGAGCUAAUGGGACCAGACUGUGAGAUCUUUGAGGCCGGGCCCUCAUCUGAUUCAUCUCCCCAACACCCAGUACAAGCCAUAGCACAGUCCCUGGCACUUGAGGUUUUCAGUGAACACCUACUGACCAAGCCAUAUUUUCUCCACUUGGCAUACUCCUGUUCCUCCUUGGAGAAUCAGGUCAAAACCCCACUCCUCCAAAAAGCCUUCCCUGAUCCAUUCAGAGCUGUGAACCUCCCCUGAGCCCCCACAGCUCCUGUGCUUCCCUCUAGCAGAGCUCUAAUCAGCUCAUAAUGAAAUUUCCCUUUGCAUCUCUCUCCCUUUUCUGAGGGCAAGAACCAAUGUUAUUUGUUAUCUCUAAAUCUCCAGGUCCCAGCCUGGUGCCUGGCAUAAACUAGGAAUAUAAAAUGAAUGACUGAAUGUGCCUACUCUAAAAAUCUAGAUGUGGUAUAAUAAGUCCCAGACAGUGCACUCACGCCUGUAAUCCCAGCACUUUGGGAGGCCGAGGCAGGCAGAUCACCUGAGGUCAGGAGUUCAAGACCAGCCUGGCCAACAUGGAGAGACCCCCGUCUCUACUAAAAAUACAAAAAAAUUAGCCAGGUGUGCUGGCAGUCGCCUCUAAUCCCAGCUACCUGGGAGGCUGAGGCAAGAGAAGUGCUUGAACCUGGGAGGCAGAGGCAGAGGUUGCCGUGAUCCAAGAUUGUGCCAUUGCACUCCAGCCUGGGUGACAGAGCAGGACUCCGUCUCAAAAAAAGAAAAAGUCGCCUGGCGUGGUGGCUCAUGCCUGUAAUCCAGCACUUUGGGAGGCCAAGGUGGGUGGAUCACAAGGUCAGGAGUUUGAGACCAGCUUGGACAACAUGGUAAAACCCCAUCUCUACUAAAGAUACAAAAAAUUAGCUGGGCGUGGUGGCACAUGCCUGUAAUCCCAGUUACUCGGGAGGCUGAGGCAGGAGAAUUGCUUGAACCUGGGAGGCAGAGGUGGCAGUGAGCCGAGAUCACGCCAUUGUACUCCAGCCUGGGUGACAGGGUGAGAUUCCAUCUCAAAAAAAAAAAAAAAAAAAAGUCCCAGACAAGGAAGGACAGUUUCAAGAAACUUUGAAAGAAUAAAUUAGCAAAACUUAGAGACUACCUGGAUGGUUAGAUAUCUGCGGCAUGGGAAAGAACUAAAUCUAAGGUUGAGUAACACUGUUUAGAGUUGUUGUUAACAUGCAACAGGAAUUCAUUUAGUGGCUAAAAGAAGUGUCCUUCCCUUGCUGAAGCGUCUAAACAUAUAUACUUCCGAUAAUCAGCGAACAGCAGAACAUUUGGAUAUCAAUACUUGCAUAUGAAAUCUGGUAAUGAGUUUGGGCUGAUGAAAUGUCUAGACUCAGUGCUCCCCUCCAAGGUGGAGGCUAGCCCCCCAUCACUGCGGCUGCUACCCAAGUGCAAACUGCCGUCCACCCAACCCAAAGCUAGUACAGGACCCUUACUACCAACCAUACACCGUGUGGCACUUGGAAAAAAAGAGUGGCUCUUCUACCAGGAGUGUCAAGCAGUUACAGCUGGACCAGACGAGCACUUCACUGGAAGAAGAAAGAUGCUCAAAGAGGAACUCUAACAAGGGAGAGGAUGAGAAAACAAUAAAUGACAGCCAUGUGAUCACGAUCCCUUAACUGAUGCUAAGGCCUUGGAUUUAUUCAGCACCUUACUCUUGCUACUUCAUCUGUUCACAUAUCCUCUCCAUGAGUCAUGAUCAUCAAUCCACUAAUAAACCUGGAAAGUGCCCUUGGUUAUGGUUUAACCUCUUCUUUUUAACAGGUGGGGAAACUGAGUCCCAGAGAAGAGGCACUAUUAGUGGCGGAAGUAGAGUUGGAACUUAAGUCUCCUAAUUCUCAGAAUGGGCAGUGGCGUGGAUGAAGGAAAAAGAGUUUUUAGAGUCAGAGAGACUUGACUUUUUAUCCCAUCUCUGCCAAUGACUAGGCCUGCCAAUUAUUUCAUUCUCUGAGCCUCAAUUUCCUUAUCUAUAAAAUAGUGAAGAUGAAGACCUAAAUGUGGUAACAUUUGCAAUGCAUCUCAUAACAGUCCCUGCUCAUAAUAGUCCCUUGAAAAAUAUUGUUUCCUGUUGCCUACCUGGUCCACAGGUCUUUUCACCACCCCACAUUAGGUUUUUAUUCAUAGAUGACCAAAUAAAUGACAAAAAUCGGUAACAAAUUGCUCAAGGUCAUACAAGAAAUCUGUAGCAAUAGGAUUCAGAUGUUAUGAGACAUAGUUCAUAGGGUCUGUCAUACACAAUUGAACCUGUCACCACCCCAUCCUUCUAGUAUAGGGAGGAGAAGGUUAGAAGUGUUCCCCUACCUGGGAUGUCAGCGUGGAUGAAGGCUGACGCAUGCUUUGCUGGGGAGUGGACAAGCACCGCAGUUAUACAGUGAGCACUGGCCACCUGCAGGGUUUCAUCUCUAGAGAGGAGAAGCUGGAGAAACAGGCAGCAAAAAGUACCCCAGUCACACCACGAAUAGGACCAGAAAAACUGGCCUAGGUGCCUCAGGGCAAUAGCCUAAUUCAUUUUCGAUCCUUCCUGUCCCACAUGGCACCAGGCACAAGGAUGGUGGUCAGGAGAGCAGUUAUGGAUUAUGGGAAGGGGUCUCCGUGAACAGCAGCAGGUGAGAAAAAUAAGGAAAGAACACAAUGUAAAACUCACCAGGGGCACUCAAAGAACACUGUAACUGUUAUCACCAAUAAGUGCUCAAGCCUUCAUUAACAAAAGUACUUUCAAAGUCAUCUGGUUUAUUUAUUUAUGAAACAGGUCUCACUCUGUUGCCCAGGCUGGAGUGCAGUGGCAUGAUCAUGGCUCAUGGCUCACUGCAACCUCUGCCUCCAGGUAUCCAGCGAUCUUCUCAUUUCAGCCUCCUGAGUAGCGGGGACUACAGGCACAUGCUACCAUGCC
rnacentral:lncRNA from 1 species